GGGAGGGGGACACAGCGGGGGCUUCCUGAGAGGAGUGGACUUGUGACCCAGAGCGCGGGAGCACCCAGGCCCAGGGACCCCCAGCCUCAGCCCUCAAUGCGGGGCUCCGGGACGCAGAGCUUCAGAGCAGAGGCACAAGAGCCCAUAAGGAAGCGGGUCUGCACAGCCCCAAGCAGUUCUUGAUCCUCCUGACAAGAAUGAGCCCGACCUGGUGAUCCCACUACGUCCAGAAGCCAACACACUGUGACAAUGGGGAGUUUGAGCCAUCCUUGAGAGGAGUCAGAGUAUUGCUUUAGAAAACCAGCUGUGACCUUCAAGUUGAAGGAAGGAGAAGAUCCAUGGUUAUUAGAGGAAGAAUUUCUAAACAGCUGCUCCCCAGAUACUGCAGUGCAUCGACUGUGCACCAAGUCUAGUGUGAGGAGGGCAGCUUCCUCCCAGUGAGGCGUGCCAGAUAAAGCCUUUGCCUGUCAGUGGGCCUGGAAGACCACAGAAGACUACCAACCUGAUAAAUUAUUAAAGAAGAGCCAAGAAAACCAAGGGAAACAUUUGUAGCAAUCAUCAAAGACAAAAUACUGACCACUGAGAAGAGAAAGUUUCAGAAAAACCACGUAAACUGGGCAUAGAUGCUUAUUUCAAGAAAAAUGCUUCGUAAAUUGUGAUACUGCAGUGUGUACAUACCUGGGUUUCAUCACGUUGGCCCCAUACUGUAGAGAAAUGGCUGGUCAACAUUAGGGAUGAGAGAACUUACAAUCAAGAGAAAUCUCCUAAAUAUAAUAAAAGCAUGAAAGAUCUCAAUUACAAGAAGGAAGUUAUUCAGCAUCAAACUAUCUAGACUUUGAGGCAAGCUCUUGAAUAUAAUAAACAUGGAAAAGCUUUCCAUGACAAGACUGCUCUUACUAUACCUUAGAGUGCCCACACAAAGCUGAGAUCCUGUAAUUAUAAAUUUGGCAAAAAUGUGAUAAAUCAAUCCUCAUUAUCUCUCAGACCAUUCACACAGAAAAGAGCCACUGAAUCUAAUGAAAAUUAAUAUAAUCAAAAUGGGGAUAAUUUCAGUAAGAUAACUCAAGUUCAGAGAACUGACACAAGAGGGAAACUUUCCAGCAGAAAAUUCUGACUUCAGAGAACAUGUGAGAACUCAUAGGAGUGAAGUCCCUGAACGUGGAAAAACCAGCCAUUACAUCAGAGAACUCACACAGCAGAGAAAUACUGUGAUUACAACAGAUGUAGGGAAAUCUUCAGUUCCCAACCAGCCUUCAAUAUAAAUCAGAGAUCUCAUGAAAAGUGAAGCCCUGUGAGUGAAAUGAGUGGAGAAAAUCCUUCUCUAGGAAAUCACACCUCAUUGCACAUAAGAAAACACAGAGGAAAAAUACUAUGGUUGUAGUGAUCAUGGGAAAGCUUUCAGUGAAAAGUCAGCUCAAAGGGCAUCAGAGAACUCACAUAGAGAAGAAACCCUUUGAAUGCAAUGAAUGUGGGAGAGCUUUCAACUAUACCUCUGACAUAAGACAAUAUCAGAGAACUCACAUGGGGGACAGAUCCUAUAAAUGUGAUCAAUAUGACAAGUCUUUUAGCUGUAAGUUAACACUCACACUACAUGAGAGAACUCAGGAGAGAAACCCUUUGAAUAUAAUGAAUGUGGUAAAACUGUCAGCAAGGAAUCAGAACUAAGGAAAUAUCAGAGAACUCACACAGAAGGGAAACCCUAUAAAUGAUAAAUGUGGGAAAACUAAUCUGUAAGUCAGCCCCUACAGCACAUCACAGAAUGCACACAGGCGAGAAACCCUAUGAAUGUAAUGAACGUGAGACGACUUCCCCCUGGGAAUUGGACCUCAGAACACAUCAGAGAACGUGCACAAGGGAGAAACCCCGUGAAUGUAAUGCAUUUGGGGAAGCUUUCAGCCAGAAGUCACAGCUCAGAGUUUACCAGAGAAUUCACACAGGAGACUUUGCGUAUGUGAAUGUGAGCAGUUCUUUUCAAGAAAUCAGCUCUCACUAACCAUCAGGCAACAUACAGGAGAGAAGUGUAUGAAUAUAAUAAAUAUAUGAUAACACUCCUCUGGAAAUCUGACCUCACAGUUUUUCAGCCAGAGUUUAGGCCUCAUUAGAAAUCAGAGAAUUAGUCCAGGAAAGAAACUUGAUGAAGGUACUGUGGAUUUGCAUAUUCUAGACACUUCAUAUAAACAUAGUAAAUGUCAUUUAUGUUUCCUUCUCACUGCCUGGUAGAUUUUUCUUACGUCUCUGACCUUUUGUUCCAGCGAGUGAUAUUUUCAUCUGGAGAUCCAGAGGGAGUUAGGUUUCUGUGUGUCUGCGUACUAAGGGUCUUCACACCACUGCAGGCGGAAGAGAAUCCUGUGGAUAGAGGGUCUUCAUACUGUGGCCGGCAGUGACAGGCUUGACCAGGAGAUUCUUGGGUGUUAGCCCUCGCCUGGGUCUCCUUUCAUUGCUGGGUGACUGAUGGUUUGACGGAAUGAUAUUAGAUCUCAGCUGCCUACAUAACUCUACAAAUAAUUAAACUUAAGUAUUCUACUAAACAGA